ACGGGGUGCAGCAGGCGCGAAAACUUUGCAAUGUGCGAAAGCACGACAAGGUUAAUCCGAGUGUUUCCUGCUAAAGGAAUCUUUUGUCAGUCAUAACACCACUGAUGAAUAAGGGGUGGGCAAGUUCUGGUGUCAGCCGCCGCGGUAAAACCAGCACCUCAAGUGGUCAGGAUGGUUAUUGGGCCUAAAGCAUCCGUAGCCGGCUCAGUAAGUUUUCGGUUAAAUCUGUACGCUCAACGUACAGGCUGCCGGGAAUACUGCAGAGCUAGGGAGUGGGAGAGGUAGACGGUACUCGGGAGGAAGUGGUAAAAUGCUUUGAUCUUUCGAUGACCACCUGUGGCGAAGGCGGUCUACCAGAACACGUCCGACGGUGAGGGAUGAAAGCUGGGGGAGCAAACCGGAUUAGAUACCCGGGUAGUCCCAGCUGUAAACUAUGCAAACUCAGUGAUGCAUUGGCUUGUGGCCAAUGCAGUGUUGCAGGGAAGCCGUUAAGUUUGCCGCCUGGAAGUACGUACGCAAGUA
rnacentral:rRNA from 1 species